AAAAAACAAAACUCCCCUCACUAUCUUCUUUGGCUUCUCGCCUCUUUCUCUGCCUCUUUUCUUAUGAGAUAUGUUGUCGCCUUGGACUAAUCCAAGCCUUUGAUUUCUAUUGCUAUGGAUUAUCAACAGUCCAGAACUUCUAUUCUUUCGUGUUGGUGUGCCAGCUAACAAGAGUAAGUACCUUCGUCCCUGUAUUAUUCCAUAUCGUCUUGCUAAUAACCAUUUUCCCCUCUUCAGUUGUGUCUGCUCUCAGGUUAUAUGGAUUGUGCUCCUAAUUUGCUGACAAAUCUUAUCUAUUGAAGAGAUUCUUCUUCACUUUGGCAAGUUCUCAUUUUUCCUUCUUUGCUCUCUAGCUUUUGUCUUCCUGUAGGUUGGUCCUCAAUUGGAGUGAAUGGAUAGCUUUGACAUGCCUCCUUGAAAGAGUGUUAACUUUUUCUAGGUUUAAAUGUCUUAUCUUGACCCAAGAUCCUCCCAUUUUGUCUCAUCCUUUUUGGUGGGUUAAAUAAUUUAGGUCAGAUAGAUUUCAAUUAUUAAAUUGAUUUUAAAACCUAUCAAUCAGAUUCAUUGGCAUGCUUUUCUUCCCUCAUAUGGUUGAAUAAUUGUCGUGGAGGAGCAUAUAGAAAUAAACUUUUCCAAUUGUGUUCCAAUAUGAGUAUAAGAAAACAAAUAAAAAACUAAAGAAAAUCUCUAGUGAGUAUUUUAUUAGAGAACGAAGAUAAACUAAACAUAUAUUAAAGCAGUCUAAUUAUGUUUUUAAGUAUUUACUUAAAGACUCACUAAGGUGGCACUCCACAAUUCUUUGUUUGACAUAUCGUCCUGAUCUAUAGAAAUUCAAGAAAUGAGUUGGAUUUUAUUUGUGAUGAAGAAUUUGAUACCAAAUCAAGUAUUUUUAUCAUGGAAGUUCCAAUUUUGGUGAUGACUAAGUUAAUCCGAAUUAACAUCCAAAAAUGAAGAUGGGUGUCCACUACCACACUCAUCAAUAUAGAAUCUUAAGUUAGGGAAAUAGUUUAACUUAUAUAUACAAAAAAUAUGUAACCCUUAAUUUUGUAUAAGGAAAAUUUGAUCCAUAUAUAACAAAUAUUUCUUGUUUGUCAUUCUAUACGUUUUUGGGGAUUCAACACACACUAGUAGGUAAAAUGAUGGAACGGUAGAGGUUGUCUAUAAGGCGGUUGCAAUGACAAUCAUUCUGGUAGAAAUGGAAUAUAAUCAGAAGGUCCUGAAGGUGUUAAGUUGGUAGAGGAGGUACUCAUUACGGUAGGGGUGGUGCUCAAACAAGCGACAUGACAUAAUUUUAUUCUUUUCCAGGAAGGCCAGAGGCAGAAGCAUUACACACAUUUAUUACAGAUUGAAUUUUCAUUUAUUGUAUAACCAGUGCCAAGUUGAUUCUAUACAUGUGAUCGAACACGAUAAUUGGUACACUGGGGGAGUGUCCUUUACAAUUCUUUAAUACUAGAAAAAAGUCCCCUCAAUGUUCUAAUACCCUCACUGAACCAAUCGGUUGAAGAGGCUACUUGGGAUACCGAAGCAGACAUGUGCAAGAAGUAUUCCUAAUUAUUCAUCGAUUCAUUAUUUAUCGUGAGUCUUCUAUUUUUCCUUCUUUUUUCAUUUAGAAAUAAACUUAUGUUUAACUAGCAUCUAAUAUAACAACUCAUUUCAUCAUUAUGAUAAUUUAAACGGGAUAUACCUAGACCUUUCGAAUUAUUUAGGGACAUAUUUAAUCAUUUUCCCAUAAAUCAAUAACCGAUGGUUGUGAUAGUUAUAGAGUUGCUUUGACAGGGACCUAAAUAUUUCUUAAAAAAUGAACUCCAAAAGGCCAUUGAAAAAUUGGUACACCAAAUCAAAGUUGAUGUGAAGCAAAACAGAACAAUUUUUACCUCUUAUAUGAUUAUGAAUCGUGACUAUAGUUUAAUGAAAUUUGCUAUUAAAUUCGAGAUUCAUUAGAUUUAUUUGUAUUAAAAAUAAAAAAGACUUUCUUUAUGAUUUGCAUACCUUUUUAUACAAAUCACAUUUAUCUUUCCUCAUUUUUCUCCAGAUUUGAAUUUUGAAUGCUCUUUUUCUCCCUCCUAAUCGUGACAUCUCAAUUCUAAUUAACCGCCUAGACGUGUUUCAACAAACUUCUUAAUUUUAUUUUUCAUUUGUAUAUGAAGAAUCUCAAGUAUUUAUAAAUAUCAAUUUGUUUAUAUUUCAGUAUUUGUAUACGUUUUGAUAGUUUUGUUGUCAUAUUAUACAUAUCUAUAUUUAUUUUUAUAUACACAGACAUCCAUUUCUAUUUUCUGGUACGUAGUUCUAUGUGUUUAUUUAUUUAUUUUUGGUUGUACUUUUUAUUUCUAAUUAUUCCCCAAAAUACCUUAUACAAACCAAAUAUAUAAUUUCAGCAUUUAUAUACAAUUAUAGGGGUGAACAUUUGGUAUUCGGUUCGAUUUCAGUUUUUUUUUCGGUUUUUCAAUUUUUGGUUCUUGUAAAUUGUGUGCCGAAUACCAAACUGAAAUAUUUCAGUUCGGUUCGGUUUUUGUUAUUUCGAUUAGGUUUUUAUUAAUUCGGUUUGGUUUUUUUAUUUUGGUUUUUAAUUCACAAUAAAUUCACACUAACUUGUAACAAAAACAAAAAUAAAAAAUGAAAGAAGUCAAGAACAAAAUGAAAGAAGUCAAGAACAAAGAAGAAAAUUAGAAAAACAAACCUGACUAGGCUGGCUACCGGACGCCGGUCGCCGGUUGAAGACGAAGUGGAUGCAGGCGGCGGCUGAUGGUGGCGGCUGUUGCUGCUGCUGGCGUCUGGCAGGCUGCUUCCUGAAAUAGGAAGAGGAAGAGGUGUUGCCUCCAAGAGAAAGAGGAAUAAGGACAUUACUUUACAUACUUUUUUCUUUUUUUAAAAGAUUAUUUAACAUUAAUAAUUAUUAAUUAAUAUAAUAUAAAUUAUAGUAUAAUAUUUUGAUUUAAACCGAAAUACUAAAAAAUAAAAUAAUACGUACCGAAAAAUGAACCGAAAUACCAAAAAAUAUAAAAAAAAAUAAAUUGAAUACCGAAAUACCAAAAUCGAAAUUUUGAAAAACUUCGAUUUGAUUCGGUAUUUCAGUUUUCCGAUGUUUAUGCCCACCCCUAUACAAUUACUUAUUUAUCUAUAUUAAUAGCUCGUAUACAUUACAUACAAUUGUAUAUAAAGUCCUCAAUUAGCUCUAAAAAGAAAAAUCUAUUAUCAUUAAAUCUUAUAUUAUUUUACAUAUAUAUGGAUCAUUAUUUACCAUAUACAAUUAUGAAAAAUACAGAUAUAUUAUGCAUAAAAAAAGUUAUUCUAUUAUACAAUAGGCACUAUUGCCUUAUAAAAUAAAAUUAUUAAGAGAGAAUGAAAGGAGUAGUAAUUAAAUUAAGAUCAUUCUUUCUUUUGACCGUUAAUACUUCUGUGCCAAAUGAUUCAAAUUAACUCCACGAGGAACCUCCCAAUCAAAGUGAUAAAAUUAAUGCUGUUAAUAUAAGCUAGCCAACUCUUAUCUGGGUUAACCAAUAUAAACUUUAAAAUUUUACGAGUUAGGCUGGGCAAGACUAUUUUUGGCAAGAAAACGGUCACUACAAGAAAAGUAUGAAUUACAUGGAGAUUUUCCUAGGGAUUAGUAUGAAAAUCUGCAAGUAACUUAUUUUCCUGCAAAUCAAUAUAUAUAUAUAAAUGAGGACCAUUGAGGAGGUGAUGUGGCACCUCUAUAUGGCCUCCAUUUGCAUUUAGCUUUUUCCAUCUUUUUUUUUAAAAAAUAAUUAUUAUAUAUCAUAAAAAGUUAUUUAAAUUUAUUACAAAUAAAUAUUUUAUUAAUGGUGGGUCAUUUAUAACAAAAACUCUUCCUAUUUUUUAUUUAUUUAUUUCACUUAUAAUUAAAAGAGAAACAUAAUUUAUUUAUUUUUAACUUUUCUAAU
rnacentral:lncRNA from 1 species